AACGUAGGAGACAAACGUUAUCCGGAGUUACUGGGCGUAAAGGGCGUGUAGGUGGUUUCGUAAGUCUGGCGUGAAAUUUUUCGGCUUAACCGGGAAAGGUCGUCGGAUACUGCGGGACUAGAGGACGGUAGAGGCGUGUGGAAUUCCGGGUGUAGUGGUGAAAUGCGUAGAGAUCCGGAGGAACACCAGUGGCGAAGGCGACACGCUGGGCCGUACCUGACACUGAUGCGCGACAGCAGUGGGGAGCAAACGGGG
rnacentral:rRNA from 1 species